rnacentral:lncRNA from 1 species
GGGCCAUGGCUAUGUGGCAACAUGAAGGCCAAAUGAUAGAGGGUAUUUAAGGUCUCCUACUGAGGUCUAAUCAAAUGAUGUUUUUCCCACUAUUUGAAAACUUGGGAAAAAUUUGUUUUCAUGUUGAGGUAAAAGGAGAUCUUUCCUAGGGUAAUUUGAGGGUGAAUUGAAGACUAGCAUAGCUAGGUGUUCACAUAAUGAUUUUAUUCAGGAGAGUGUAAUUUAAAAAAAAAAAGCAUAGAAAUAUUUAAAGAGCUGAGAUUAAGCUUUAAUCAAUUAAACAUUUUAAUUAUUUGGGACAAAUAACUAACAUUUCACUAUCAAAUGAAUCUGUUUUGAAGUACCAUUGAAAGUUGCAUUGAUGCCAAUAAACAGUCUUUUCGUUUUUCUUUUUGCCUCAGUGGUGCAUGUCACUUUCCUGCAAGGCAACUAGUUUGCAGAUAUGGUCAGAGGGAAAAUUACUGAACAACAAAAUGAAAAGGGGGCAUAAGUCAGCCAGCUCUCUCAAUCCUAGGAAAGGAAACUUCCCUCCUGCUUAUGAAAGAGGACGAUUGUGCUCAGUACCACUUAACCAGUGCCAACAAUCUGAGGCCAAGAAACUUGAAAAAGUGAUAGAAGCAGGGUACCGUUUGCAUCAUCAAACACAGCUCAGUACACAGAUUAAAAAAUAAGCCGUUUGGGCCAUGUGCACUGAAAGAAUGGCUAUAACUCUUGCCCUGAUCAGAGGCUUCCACAAACUAGCAUUGAACUCACUGGGGGUCCAACAGAGAAGAAAAGGAGGAAAUCCAGGAGAUAAAUUAAGGAAUUUUGGAGAAGGUGAGAUACUUAAAUUUUAUAAAGAUUUUUCAAUUAAAUUGAAUAAAACCCACUUUCUAAUC